rnacentral:rRNA from 1 species
UUCCGGUUGAUCCCGCCGGAGGCUACCGCUAUUGGAGUUCGAUUAAGCCAUGCGAGUCGCGAGUCUUAGGGACUCGGCGUACCGCUCAGUAACACGUGGGUAACCUGCCCUAUGCUGGGGGAUAACCUCGGGAAACUGAGAAUAAUACCCCAUAGUUCACCACGCCUGGAACGGUGGGUGGAUGAAAGCUCCGGCGGCAUAGGAUGGGCCUGCGGCGUAUCAGGUUGUAGGGGGUGUAAUGUACCCUCUAGCCAUCUACGCGUACGGGUGUUGGGAGACAUCGCCCGGAGAUGGAUUCUGAGACACGAAUCCAGACCCUACGGGGUGCAGCAGGCGCGAAAACUUGGCAAUGCGAGCAAUCGUGACCAGGGAACUCCAAGUGCAUCGGGUAAGACCGAUGCUUUUCUUGACUCUUCAAAGGUCUUGGAAUAAGGGGUGGGUAAGGACGGUGCCAGCCGCCGCGGUAAUACCGGCGCCUCAAGUGGUAGUCGCUUUUAUUGGGCCUAAAACGUCCGUAGCCGGUUUGGUACAUUCGUGGGUAAAUCAAGGCGCUCAACGUCUUGAAUUCUGCGAGCACGGCCAGACUUGGGACCGGGUGAGGUGUGGGGUACUCUCAGGGUAGGGGUAAAAUCCUGUCAUCCUGAGAGGACCACCUGUUGCGAAGGCGCCACACUAGAACGGAUCCGACGGUCAGGGACGAAGCCUAGGGGCACGAACCGGAUUAGAUACCCGGGUAGUCCUAGGUGUAAACGCUGUGGACUUGAUGUUGGGAGUGCUCCGAGCACCCUCAGUGUCGAAGCGAAGGUGAUAAGUCCACUGCCUGGGGAGUACGGUCGCAAGGCUGAAACUUAAAGGAAUUGGCGGGGGAGCACUGCAACCUGAGGAUUGUGCGGUUUAAUUGGAUUCAACGCCGGA